rnacentral:rRNA from 1 species
AGAACGAACGCUGGCGGCAUGCCUAACACAUGCAAGUCGAACGAGACCUUCGGGUCUAGUGGCGCACGGGUGCGUAACGCGUGGGAAUCUGCCCUUGGGUUCGGAAUAACAGUUAGAAAUGACUGCUAAUACCGGAUGAUGACGAAAGUCCAAAGAUUUAUCGCCCAGGGAUGAGCCCGCGUAGGAUUAGCUAGUUGGUGAGGUAAAGGCUCACCAAGGCGACGAUCCUUAGCUGGUCUGAGAGGAUGAUCAGCCACACUGGGACUGAGACACGGCCCAGACUCCGUACGGGAGG